AUGUGGAGCAUGUGGUAACGAAGGACAUAACAGAACUUCUUGUCCGCUGAAUAAAUCAGUCACUUCUGCGUCGAAGUCUCCUCCUCGAGCUAUUGAAAUCCCAAAAAAGUCAUACAAAUGUGGAGCAUGUGGUAACGAAGGACAUAACAGAACUUCUUGUCCGCUGAAUAAAUCAGUCACUUCUGCGUCGAAGUCUCCUCCUCGAGCUAUUGAAAUCCCAAAAAAGUCAUACA